UGUCUGGGGAUCGAACUAAGCAGAAGAAAAAGGGUGAAACCCUAAUUCACAAGAAUCAUCAAAUUAGAAAGGGGAAUUCAGCAAAUUCUAUUGCAUGUACAAGGAUUCUUGAUCAUCCAUGUGUUCUUCACAUUAAUAUAGGGAUCAUGUCAAGAUGGAUGGAAGCAUGGAAGGCUAAAGGGUCAAAAGGAGGCGAGGAAACGGAUGCGAAUACGGACACUUAAGGUUAGUCAGAUAUUCAUGAUGGAUAAGUGAACGAGGAUCAAGUUAAAGAUCAUGGAUUGUACGGGAAAGCGGCCACGUUGUUUGUAAUCAUUUGUUAACAUAGUUACAUUAAAUAAAUGAUGAAUGAUGUAUUUAUGUUAGAAGGGUUGACCUAAACGGUAUUUAAGUAUGUUAGAGUAGUUAAAAGAAAGAAAUUUUACGGUUCAUUUUC